GGUUAAGUUAAUAAGGGCGCACGGUGGAUGCCUUGGCACUAGGAGCCGACGAAGGACGUGACAAACGACGAUAUGCCUUGGGUAGCUGUAAGUAAGCGAUGAUCCAGGGAUUUCCGAAUGGGGGAACCCAACAGGUAGUACCUGUUACCCACAUCUGUUAAGGAUGUGAGGAGGAAGACGCAGUGAACUGAAACAUCUAAGUAGCUGCAGGAAGAGAAAGCAAAAGCGAUUGCCUUAGUAGCGGCGAGCGAAACGGCAGGAGGGCAAACCGAAGAGUUUACUCUUCGGGGUUGUAGGACUGCAAUGUGGACUCAAAGAUUAUAGAAGAAUGAUUUGGGAAGAUCAGCCAAAGAGAGUAAUAGCCUCGUAUUUAAAAUAGUCUUUGUACCUAGCAGUAUCCUGAGUACGGCGGGACACGUGAAAUCCCGUCGGAAUCUGGGAGGACCAUCUCCCAACCCUAAAUACUCCCUAGUGACCGAUAGUGAACCAGUACCGUGAGGGAAAGGUGAAAAGCACCCCGGGAGGGGAGUGAAAUAGAACCUGAAACCGUGUGCCUACAACAAGUUCGAGCCCGUUAAUGGGUGAGAGCGUGCCUUUUGUAGAAUGAACCGGCGAGUUACGUUAUGAUGCGAGGUUAAGUUGAAGAGACGGAGCCGUAGGGAAACCGAGUCUGAAUAGGGCGCCUUAGUAUCAUGACGUAGACCCGAAACCAUGUGACCUACCCAUGAGCAGGUUGAAGGUGCGGUAAGACGCACUGGAGGACCGAACCAGGGCACGUUGAAAAGUGCUUGGAUGACUUGUGGGUAGCGGAGAAAUUCCAAACGAACUUGGAGAUAGCUGGUUCUCUCCGAAAUAGCUUUAGGGCUAGCGUCGACAUUAGAGAUUCUUGGAGGUAGAGCACUGUUUGGGUGAGGGGUCCAUCCCGGAUUACCAAUCUCAGAUAAACUCCGAAUGCCAAUGAAUUAUGGUCGGCAGUCAGACUGCGAGUGCUAAGAUCCGUAGUCGAAAGGGAAACAGCCCAGACCACCAGCUAAGGUCCCAAAAUAAUUGUUAAGUGGAAAAGGAUGUGGGGUUGCACAGACAACUAGGAUGUUAGCUUAGAAGCAGCUAUUCAUUCAAAGAGUGCGUAAUAGCUCACUAGUCGAGUGACCCUGCGCCGAAAAUGUACCGGGGCUAAAACAAUUUACCGAAGCUGUGGAUACCUUUAUAGGUAUGGUAGGAGAGCGUUCUAUGUGUGAUGAAGGUAUACCGUGAGGAGUGCUGGAACGCAUAGAAGUGAGAAUGCCGGUAUGAGUAGCGAAAGACAGGUGAGAAUCCUGUCCACCGUAAGACUAAGGUUUCCAGGGGAAGGCUCGUCCGCCCUGGGUUAGUCGGGACCUAAGGAGAGACCGAAAGGUGUAUCCGAUGGACAACAGGUUGAUAUUCCUGUACUAGAGUAUGUAGUGAUGGAGGGACGCAGUAGGCUAACUAAAGCAGACGAUUGGAAGAGUCUGUCUAAGCAGUGAGGUGUGAUAUGAGUCAAAUGCUUAUAUCUGUAACAUUGAGCUGUGAUGGGGAGCGAAGUU
rnacentral:rRNA from 1 species